ACGCUGGCGGCAGGCCUAACACAUGCAAGUCGAGCGGUAGAGAGAAGCUUGCUUCUCUUGAGAGCGGCGGACGGGUGAGUAAUGCCUAGGAAUCUGCCUGGUAGUGGGGGAUAACGUUCGGAAACGGACGCUAAUACCGCAUACGUCCUACGGGAGAAAGCAGGGGACCUUCGGGCCUUGCGCUAUCAGAUGAGCCUAGGUCGGAUUAGCUAGUUGGUGAGGUAAUGGCUCACCAAGGCGACGAUCCGUAACUGGUCUGAGAGGAUGAUCAGUCACACUGGAACUGAGACACGGUCCAGACUCCUACGGGAGGCAGCAGUGGGGAAUAUUGGACAAUGGGCGAAAGCCUGAUCCAGCCAUGCCGCGUGUGCGAAGAAGGUCUUCGGAUUGUAAAGCACUUUAAGUUGGGAGGAAGGGCAGUUACCUAAUACGUGAUUGUUUUGACGUUACCGACAGAAUAAGCACCGGCUAACUCCGUGCCAGCAGCCGCGGUAAUACAGAGGGUGCGAGCGUUAAUCGGAAUUACUGGGCGUAAAGCGCGCGUAGGUGGUUUGUUAAGUUGGAUGUGAAAUCCCCGGGCUCAACCUGGGAACUGCAUUCAAAACUGACUGACUAGAGUAUGGUAGAGGGUGGUGGAAUUUCCUGUGUAGCGGUGAAAUGCGUAGAUAUAGGAAGGAACACCAGUGGCGAAGGCGACCACCUGGACUGAUACUGACACUGAGGUGCGAAAGCGUGGGGAGCAAAC
rnacentral:rRNA from 1 species